GUUAUAUGGUCAAGUGAAGAAGCGCAUACGGUGGAUGCCUUGGCAGUCAGAGGCGAUGAAAGACGUGGUAGCCUGCGAAAAGCUUCGGGGAGUCGGCAAACAGACUUUGAUCCGGAGAUCUCUGAAUGGGGGAACCCACCUAGGAUAACCUAGGUAUCUUGUACUGAAUCCAUAGGUGCAAGAGGCGAACCAGGGGAACUGAAACAUCUAAGUACCCUGAGGAAAAGAAAUCAACCGAGAUUCCCUUAGUAGUGGCGAGCGAACGGGGAUUAGCCCUUAAGCUUCAUUGAUUUUAGCGGAACGCUCUGGAAAGUGCGGCCAUAGUGGGUGAUAGCCCCGUACGCGAAAGGAUCUUUGAAGUGAAAUCGAGUAGGACGGAGCACGAGAAACUUUGUCUGAACAUGGGGGGACCAUCCUCCAAGGCUAAAUACUACUGACUGACCGAUAGUGAACCAGUACCGYGAGGGAAAGGCGAAAAGAACCCCGGAGAGGGGAGUGAAAUAGAACCUGAAACCGUAUGCGUACAAGCAGUGGGAGCCURCUUGUUAGGUGACUGCGUACCUUUUGUAUAAUGGGUCAGCGACUUAUAUUCAGUGGCAAGCUUAACCGUAUAGGGUAGGCGUAGCGAAAGCGAGUCUUAAUAGGGCGUUUAGUCGCUGGGUAUAGACCCGAAACCGGGCGAUCUAUCCAUGAGCAGGUUGAAGGUUAGGUAACACUGACUGGAGGACCGAACCCACUCCCGUUGAAAAGGUAGGGGAUGACUUGUGGAUCGGAGUGAAAGGCUAAUCAAGCUCGGAGAUAGCUGGUUCUCCUCGAAAGCUAUUUAGGUAGCGCCUCAUGUAUCACUCUGGGGGGUAGAGCACUGUUUCGGCUAGGGGGUCAUCCCGACUUACCAAACCGAUGCAAACUCCGAAUACCCAGAAGUGCCGAGCAUGGGAGACACACGGCGGGUGCUAACGUCCGUCGUGAAAAGGGAAACAACCCAGACCGCCAGCUAAGGUCCCAAAGUUGUGGUUAAGUGGUAAACGAUGUGGGAAGGCUUAGACAGCUAGGAGGUUGGCUUAGAAGCAGCCAUCCUUUAAAGAAAGCGUAAUAGCUCACUAGUCGAGUCGGCCUGCGCGGAAGAUGUAACGGGGCUCAAACCACACACCGAAGCUGCGGGUGUCACGUAAGUGACGCGGUAGAGGAGCGUUCUGUAAGCCUGUGAAGGUGAGUUGAGAAGCUUGCUGGAGGUAUCAGAAGUGCGAAUGCUGACAUGAGUAACGACAAUGGGUGUGAAAAACACCCACGCCGAAAGACCAAGGGUUCCUGCGCAACGUUAAUCGACGCAGGGUUAGUCGGUUCCUAAGGCGAGGCUGAAAAGCGUAGUCGAUGGGAAACAGGUUAAUAUUCCUGUACUUCUGGUUACUGCGAUGGAGGGACGGAGAAGGCUAGGCCAGCUUGGCGUUGGUUGUCCAAGUUUAAGGUGGUAGGCUGAAAUCUUAGGUAAAUCCGGGGUUUCAAGGCCGAGAGCUGAUGACGAGUCGUCUUUUAGAUGACGAAGUGGUUGAUGCCAUGCUUCCAAGAAAAGCUUCUAAGCUUCAGGUAACCAGGAACCGUACCCCAAACCGACACAGGUGGUCGGGUAGAGAAUACCAAGGCGCUUGAGAGAACUCGGGUGAAGGAACUAGGCAAAAUGGCACCGUAACUUCGGGAGAAGGUGCGCCGGCUAGGGUGAAGGAUUUACUCCGUAAGCUCUGGCUGGUCGAAGAUACYAGGCCGCUGCGACUGUUUAUUAAAAACACAGCACUCUGCAAACACGAAAGUGGACGUAUAGGGUGUGACGCCUGCCCGGUGCCGGAAGGUUAAUUGAUGGGGUUAGCGCAAGCGAAGCUCUUGAUCGAAGCCCCGGUAAACGGCGGCCGUAACUAUAACGGUCCUAAGGUAGCGAAAUUCCUUGUCGGGUAAGUUCCGACCUGCACGAAUGGCGUAACGAUGGCGGCGCUGUCUCCACCCGAGACUCAGUGAAAUUGAAAUCGCUGUGAAGAUGCAGUGUAUCCGCGGCUAGACGGARAGACCCCGUGAACCUUUACUGUAGCUUUGCACUGGACUUUGAGCCUGCUUGUGUAGGAUAGGUGGGAGGCUUUGAAGCGUGGACGCCAGUUCGCGUGGAGCCAUCCUUGAAAUACCACCCUGGCAUGCUUGAGGUUCUAACUCUGGUCCGUGAUCCGGAUCGAGGACAGUGUAUGGUGGGCAGUUUGACUGGGGCGGUCUCCUCCUAAAGAGUAACGGAGGAGUACGAAGGUGCGCUCAGACCGGUCGGAAAUCGGUCGCAGAGUAUAAAGGCAAAAGCGCGCUUGACUGCGAGACAGACACGUCGAGCAGGUACGAAAGUAGGUCUUAGUGAUCCGGUGGUUCUGUAUGGAAGGGCCAUCGCUCAACGGAUAAAAGGUACUCCGGGGAUAACAGGCUGAUACCGCCCAAGAGUUCAUAUCGACGGCGGUGUUUGGCACCUCGAUGUCGGCUCAUCACAUCCUGGGGCUGAAGCCGGUCCCAAGGGUAUGGCUGUUCGCCAUUUAAAGUGGUACGCGAGCUGGGUUUAGAACGUCGUGAGACAGUUCGGUCCCUAUCUGCCGUGGACGUUUGAGAUUUGAGAGGGGCUGCUCCUAGUACGAGAGGACCGGAGUGGACGAACCUCUGGUGUUCCGGUUGUCACGCCAGUGGCAUUGCCGGGUAGCUAUGUUCGGAAAAGAUAACCGCUGAAAGCAUCUAAGCGGGAAACUUGCCUCAAGAUGAGAUCUCACUGGGAACUUGAUUCCCCUGAAGGGCCGUCGAAGACUACGACGUUGAUAGGCUGGGUGUGUAAGCGUUGUGAGGCGUUGAGCUAACCAGUACUAAUUGCCCGUGAGGCUUGACCAUAUAACACCCAAACA
rnacentral:rRNA from 1 species